AGAUAAUAGAUACCCCGGUAGUCCACGCUGUAAACGUUAGGGCGCUAGGUGUGGGGACCGUCUCCAGGUCUCCGUGCCGCAGCUAAACGCAUUAAGCGCCCCGCCUGGGGAGUACGGCCGCAAGGCUAAAACUCAAAGGAAUUGACGGGGGCCCGGCACAAGCGGCGGAGCAUGCGGAUUAAUUCGAUGCAACGCGAAGAACCUUACCUGGGUUUGACAUCACUUGAAAACUCGCAGAGAUGCGGGGUCCUUUUAGGGCGGGUGACAGGUGGUGCAUGGCUGUCGUCAGCUCGUGUCGUGAGAUGUUGGGUUAAGUCCCGCAACGAGCGCAACCCUUGUUCCAUGUUGCCAGCACGUUAUGGUGGGGACUCAUGGGAGACUGCCGGGGUCAACUCGGAGGAAGGUGGGGAUGACGUCAAGUCAUCAUGCCCCUUAUGUCCAGGGCUUCACGCAUGCUACAAUGGCCGGUACAAUGGGCUGCGAUACCGUGAGGUGGAGCGAAUCCCAAAAAAGCCGGUCUCAGUUCGGAUCGCAGU
rnacentral:rRNA from 1 species